rnacentral:rRNA from 1 species
AUGCCCUCACCUCCAUCCUCAGAAAGGCAACCGAAGAAGGAGUCCUCAGCUCGUUCAGAGGCGUCUCAGCUACUCAGCGUCUCUCUCUCUCUCUCUCUCUCUCUCUAUGCUGACGACCUUGCACUUUUCUUGAGGCCGACCACACAAGACCUGACGUUCGUCAAGGAUACCUUCGACAUCUUCGGCAAAGCUUCUGGCCUCAAAAUCAACUACGGCAAGUCCAACGCGAUUCUAAUCAGGCACAAUGAGACUGAUCAUCAAAGAGUGGAGGCGAUCCUGCAUUGUAGAUUGGGAAGCUUCCCAUGUCGUUACCUUGGACUCCAACUUGCUAUCAACCAGCUAACUAGGGCGGAUUGGCAGCCGCUCCUUGAUCAAGUGAGGAAGUUCAUCCCUGCCUGGCAACGAGGAUUCAUUCAGCGGCCCGAGAGAUUGAUCCUUGUCAAAACUAUGAUUGCAGCACGGCCAGUCCAUCAGCUCCUAGUGCUUGACCCCCCAGCUUGGGUCCUUGAGGAGAUUAAUAGGUGGAUGCGCUCCUUCUUUUGGGCUGGCAAAGAUAAGAGCCAUGGCGGCCAAUGCCUUGUCGCGUGGGAUACGGUAUGUAAACCAACAACUUUUGGAGGCUUGGGUGUGAAGAACCUAGAGUUGCAAGCGUUGGCACUUCGUGUGCGAUGGGAAUGGUUGAGAAGAACGGACCCGAGCAGGCCAUGGCAAGGGUUGCACUUGAUUGUUGCCGACAAAGCGCGUGAGGUAUUCAAUAGUUUCGUCAAAAUCAAGGUGGGGGAGGGAUCAAACGUCCUCUUUUGGAAGGACCGCUGGAUCCAUGGAGCGGCAACCGUUGACAUCGCCCCUUUACUUCAUGAGAUGGUCAGUACGAGGAACAAGAACAGAAGAACAGUGAAAGAUGCACUCACUGAUAAUGCAUGGACACACGAUGUGCAAGGAGAGCUCUCUUUCUUGGGCCACAUGCAAGUUUAUUCGCUAUGCCAAGCCAUCAACUCCGUGGAGAGGAAUGUGGCGGAGCCCGACCAAUUCAUUUGGCCUUGUCACGCGUCCGGAAGAUACAAUGCAAGCGCCACAUACAAGUGGUUUUGCAUGGGACAGGUCAAAAUCCCCACCGUGGAGUGCAUUUGGAGAAGCUGGGCGCCGCUCGAAUGCAAAAUCUUCAUGCGGCUAGCUUGCCAAUACCGCCUUUGGACUUCCGACCGUCGGGCUCGACACGGUCUCCAGGAUACACCAUCGGCCUGCUAUACGUGUCUUCAAGAUGAGGGUAACCCCGAUCACAUCCUUGCACAGUGUGGUUACGCGCGGGAGGUGUGGUACUCAUGCUUCAACGAGUGGAGGAUCAACACUCAAAUCCCAGCCUCAGAUGCCACUUUCUUGCAAUGGUGGCUUGAACAGAGGAGGCACUUCAAUGGCAAGUUGAGAAGAGGAUUUGACUCCAUCACGAUCCUAAUUGCCUGGGCACUAUGGAAGCAACGAAAUGCACGAGUAUUCAACAAUGUUUCAAGACAAAGAUCGGCGGCUCAACUUAAGGAAGAGAUCCUUGAUGAGAUUGAUGACUGGAGGAAGGCCGAGCUUGGUGGAGUUGGUGCUUUAGACCCUUUCGCGAGAGAGUAG